rnacentral:rRNA from 1 species
UACGAAGGGGGCUAGCGUUGCUCGGAAUUACUGGGCGUAAAGCGCACGUAGGCGGAUCCUUAAGUCGGUGGUGAAAUCCUGAAGCUCAACUUCAGAACUGCCUUCGAUACUGGGGACCUUGAGUUCGGGAGAGGUGAGUGGAACUGCGAGUGUAGAGGUGAAAUUCGUAGAUAUUCGCAAGAACACCAGUGGCGAAGGCGAACUCACUGGCCCGAUACUGACGCUGAGGUGCGAAAGCGUGGGGAGCAAACAGGG